rnacentral:rRNA from 1 species
AGCGAACGCUGGCGGCAGGCUUAACACAUGCAAGUCGAACGGGCACUUCGGUGCUAGUGGCAGACGGGUGAGUAACACGUGGGAACGUACCUUUCGGUUCGGAAUAAUCCAGGGAAACUUGGACUAAUACCGGAUACGCCCUUCGGGGGAAAGAUUCAUCGCCGAUAGAUCGGCCCGCGUCUGAUUAGCUAGUUGGUGAGGUAAUGGCUCACCAAGGCGACGAUCAGUAGCUGGUCUGAGAGGAUGAUCAGCCACAUUGGGACUGAGACACGGCCCAAACUCCUACGGGAGGCAGCAGUGGGGAAUAUUGGACAAUGGGCGCAAGCCUGAUCCAGCCAUGCCGCGUGAGUGAUGAAGGCCUUAGGGUUGUAAAGCUCUUUUGUCCGGGAAGAUAAUGACUGUACCGGAAGAAUAAGCCCCGGCUAACUUCG